AUUGAACGCUGGCGGCAUGCCUUACACAUGCAAGUCGAACGGUAACAGCACUUCGGUGGCUGACGAGUGGCGAACGGGUGAGUAAUACAUCGGAACGUGCCCGAGAGUGGGGGAUAACGCAGCGAAAGCUGUGCUAAUACCGCAUACGAUCUACGGAUGAAAGCAGGGGACCGCAAGGCCUUGCGCUCAUGGAGCGGCCGAUGGCAGAUUAGGUAGUUGGUGGGAUAAAAGCUUACCAAGCCGACGAUCUGUAGCUGGUCUGAGAGGACGACCAGCCACACUGGGACUGAGACACGGCCCAGACUCCUACGGGAGGCAGCAGUGGGGAAUUUUGGACAAUGGGCGAAAGCCUGAUCCAGCCAUGCCGCGUGCAGGAUGAAGGCCUUCGGUUGUAAACUGCUUUGUACGGUAACGAAAGGUACGUUUCUAAUAAAGUAAGGACGUCAUGACGGUACCGUAAGAAUAAGACACCGGCUAACUACGUGCCAGCACG
rnacentral:rRNA from 1 species